AGAGUUUGAUCAUGGCUCAGAGCGAACGCUGGCGGCGUGCCUAACACAUGCAAGUCGAACGAGAACGGGUGGCGGAUCCCUUCGGGGUGAAGCCACUGUCAGCUAAGUGGCGCACGGGUGAGUAAUAUAUAGGUAACAUGCCCCUUGGAGAGGGAUAACGGCUGGAAACGGCCGCUAAUACCUCAUACUCCUGUAUGACGUAAGCCAUACAGGGAAACGGUUUAUUCCGCCAAGGGAUUGGCCUGUAUCGUAUCAGCUAGUUGGUGAGGUAAUGGCUCACCAAGGCUAUGACGCGUAGCUGGUCUGAGAGGAUGAUCAGUCACACUGGAACUGAGACACGGUCCAGACUCCUACGGGAGGCAGCAGUGGGGAAUAUUGCACAAUGGAGGAAACUCUGAUGCAGCAACGCCGCGUGGAGGAUGACGCCCUUCGGGGUGUAAACUCCUUUUCUGCCGGAAGAUAAUGACGGUAUGGCAGGAAUAAGCACCGGCUAACUCCGUGCCAGCAGCCGCGGUAAUACGGAGGGUGCAAGCGUUACUCGGAAUCACUGGGCGUAAAGGACGCGUAGGCGGGAUGGUAAGUCAGAUGUGAAAUCCCACAGCUUAACUGUG
rnacentral:rRNA from 1 species